GCACAAGCCUCAAACCCACACGCACAAGUAGAUAUGGAAUUCAAAGAUUUGAUAAACCCACCUCCUAUGGCACCCCACACUUAGAGAAGCUGAAACACCAAUGAUCGAAGGAUUUAGAUGAGAAUCUGACAAACGCCACAACGAAUAGUUGAUAAGUAAGCCAAGAUUCCUGGUGCAAUUGAUGAAAGCAAAUCCUCACUCUCACUCAAAGCAAUACACGCCAAAGGCAUGA
rnacentral:lncRNA from 1 species